AACGGACGCUGGCGGCAUGCCUAACACAUGCAAGUCGAACGAGACCUUCGGGUCUAGUGGCGCACGGGUGCGUAACGCGUGGGAACCUGCCCUUAGGUUCGGAAUAACUCCCCGAAAGGGGUGCUAAUACCGGAUAAUGUCUUCGGACCAAAGAUUUAUCGCCUUUGGAUGGGCCCGCGUUGGAUUAGCUAGUUGGUAGGGUAAAAGCCUACCAAGGCGACGAUCCAUAGCUGGUCUGAGAGGAUGAUCAGCCACACUGGGACUGAGACACAGCCCAGACUCCUACGGGAGGCAGCAGUGGGGAAUAUUGGACAAUGGGCGAAAGCCUGAUCCAGCAAUGCCGCGUGAGUGAUGAAGGCCUUAGGGUUGUAAAGCUCUUUUACCCGGGAUGAUAAUGACAGUACCGGGAGAAUAAGCGCCGGCUAACUCCGUG
rnacentral:rRNA from 1 species